rnacentral:snoRNA from 1 species
CUCCUCUCAGGAUGGCACCUGGAGAGUUUCCGGUACUCUACCAGUCUCGACUACGGGAGGGAGAGCCGAGCAGAGGCCUGUCCGUUCCAUUCCUAGCUUGGGUAGUGGCUAGCGAGUAGAAGGCAAUCUGCUAGAACU